rnacentral:lncRNA from 1 species
CCAAAUUGUAAGUCCGCUUACCCUAACUUAUUCUAAACAUUAUGAUUUGUGUUUAUAGCCUAAAGAUCGGACUUAGAAGCAAUGGAAAAGGAGUUUACGGCCUAAGCUCCUCCUUAGGCCGUAAACACCUAAAAUGAGGCCAAAAUGACCCAAACUUGUCCCCUUAGGCCGUAAACACCUAAAAUGAGGCCAAAAUGACCCAAACUUGUCCCUAAUGGCUUGGAAAUAAAUUGAGGUAUUAGCCUAGGAGUGUUUAAACAUUAAAACUCAUGGAUUUAGGGGAUAAAAGAGAGUUUACGGCCCAGGCAUAUGCCAAGGCCGUAAACACCUCUUAAACAUGUCUAAAAGUCCCAAGAACACUCCCAAACCACCCUUAGGCUUCAUACAUAAUUUAGGGACUUAGUAUUUUGGGUUUAGACCAUUUAAACACAAGGAAAUAUGGGGUGACUUGGAGUUUACGGCCCAAGCAAG